AUUGAACGCUGGCGGCAUGCCUUACACAUGUAAGUCGAACGGUAACAGGUCUUCGGAUGCUGACGAGAGGCGAACGGGUGAGUAAUACAUAGGAACGUGCCUAGUAGUGGGGGAUAACUACUCGAAAGAGUGGCUAAUACCGCAUGAGAUCUACGGAUGAAAGCAGGGGAUCGCAAGACCUUGUGCUACUAGAGCGGCCGAUGGCAGAUUAGGUAGUUGGUGGGAUAAAAGCUUACCAAGCCGACGAUCUGUAGCUGGUCUGAGAGGACGAUCAGCCACACUGGGACUGAGACACGGCCCAGACUCCUACGGGAGGCAGCAGUGGGGAAUUUUGGACAAUGGGCGCAAGCCUGAUCCAGCAAUGCCGCGUGCAGGAUGAAGGCCUUCGGGUUGUAAACUGCUUUUGUACGGAACGAAAAGCCCUGGGUUAAUACCCUGGGGUCAUGACGGUACCGUAAGAAUAAGCACCGGCUAACUACGUGCCAGCAGCCGCCGUAA
rnacentral:rRNA from 1 species